UAAAAUUUAUAAAAUUAGGUAAUAAAGAAUUUUCCGAAACCUAAAGAAUUUGGCGGUAUUUUAAAUAAUUGGAGGAACCUGUUAUGUAAUUGACAAUCCGCAACAUAUCUUACCUAAAUUUUAUUUGUAUAUCGUCGUUUUUGAUUAUAUUUAAAAAUUAUAAUCAAGAUCAAUUAAAUUUUAAAAAUCAGAUCAAGAUGCAGUAUAUUUAGGUAAUAAUGGGUUACAAUAUAUGUAAUAUAAUACGAAUAAUAUAUGAAAAAUAUUUUGAAGGUGGAUUCAAAAGUAAUUUUAAAUUAAAUUGUUAUUAUGAGUUAAAAUUUAGAAUAUGC
rnacentral:rRNA from 1 species